UGGGGAAUUUUGGACAAUGGGCGAAAGCCUGAUCCAGCAAUGCCGCGUGAGUGAAGAAGGCCUUCGGGUUGUAAAGCUCUUUUGUCAGGGAAGAAACGGUGAGAGCUAAUAUCUCUUGCUAAUGACGGUACCUGAAGAAUAAGCACCGGCUAACUACGUGCCAGCAGCCGCGGUAAUACGUAGGGUGCAAGCGUUAAUCGGAAUUACUGGGCGUAAAGCGUGCGCAGGCGGUUUUGUAAGUCUGAUGUGAAAUCCCCGGGCUCAACCUGGGAAUUGCAUUGGAGACUGCAAGGCUAGAAUCUGGCAGAGGGGGGUAGAAUUCCACGUGUAGCAGUGAAAUGCGUAGAUAUGUGGAGGAACACCGAUGGCGAAGGCAGCCCCCUGGGUCAAGAUUGACGCUCAUGCACGAAAGCGUGGGGAGCAAACAGGAUUAGAUACCCUAGUAGUCCCUGAGCGGGCUGGCAAGGCGCAU
rnacentral:rRNA from 1 species